AUUGAAAGUCGUAAGAAAUGUAUUUUUGAAAUAUACCAGGGUUGCCUUUCAAGCUUUUGUAAAAAGUGAAAAAGAAACAAACUGUUUUACGAGGACAAUCCCAGAAGUUUCAAGAUAAGUAUGAGUUUAUCACAAACUACAGUCCAGAAUAAAAAUAGGCUACAGAAAUCAAAAAUCGAUAAAUAUGAAUAGACGACAAAUAAAUGUAGUCUAAUAUUCUCAAAAAAUAUACAUUAUUCACUAAAUCCAUACAAUUAAAAAAAAUAUGAAGAAAAUAACUCAGCAAUAUAUACAACAGGUUAGAAAAAGUAUAACUGUUGUCAAAAAAAACAAGAUAAGAACAAAAAGGGGAUCGCUUGAACCCAACUUAAAUAGAGACAGAAGAAUUAAACUUAAAAUAGUGAGAUCUUAUAACAGUAAACAUAAUCAUAAAAAUAAAGGUAUUGAAAAAUAUGAGACCGAAAAGUUACAAAACAUAUAAAUGAAUUUGAGAAUGAUAUAUCUAAAAAAAAUUCACAAAAGGAAACAUACUGUAAAUAGCAACGACCUCAAUGAAAAUAGAAAUUGAUUUGAAGAAUUAAAGCAUAACAUUUUAUAUAUGAUAGUUUGUAUAGUGUUUUAAAAAAUAUAUUUCUUAUAAUGUCA